rnacentral:rRNA from 1 species
GACGAACCGAGCGAACGUUGUUCGGAAUCACUGGGCUUAAAGGGCGCGUAGGCGGGCUGCCGCGUCCGGGGUGAAAUCCCACGGCUCAACCGUGGAACCGCCCCGGAUACGGGCGGCCUCGAGGGGGGUAGGGGCAUCUGGAACUGUGAGUGGAGCGGUGAAAUGCGUUGAUAUUCACAGGAACUCCGGUGGCGAAGGCGAGGUGCUGGACCCCUCCUGACGCUGAGGCGCGAAAGCCAGGGGAGCAAACGGG